UUGCUGCUUCGCUGACGAGUGGCGGACGGGUGAGUAAUGUCUGGGAAACUGCCUGAUGGAGGGGGAUAACUACUGGAAACGGUAGCUAAUACCGCAUAACGUCGCAAGACCAAUGAGGGGGACCUUCGGGCCUCUUGCCAUCGGAUGUGCCCAGAUGGGAUUAGCUAGUAGGUGGGGUAACGGCUCACCUAGGCGACGAUCCCUAGCUGGUCUGAGAGGAUGACCAGCCACACUGGAACUGAGACACGGUCCAGACUCCUACGGGAGGCAGCAGUGGGGAAUAUUGCACAAUGGGCGCAAGCCUGAUGCAGCCAUGCCGCGUGUAUGAAGAAGGCCUUCGGGUUGUAAAGUACUUUCAGCGGGGAGGAAGGUGCUGAGGUUAAUAACCUCAGCAAUUGACGUUACCCGCGGAAGAAGCACCGGCUAACUCCGUGCCAGCAGCCGCGGUAAUACGGAGGGUGCAAGCGUUAAUCGGAAUUACUGGGCGUAAAGCGCACGCAGGCGGUCUGUCAAGUCGGAUGUGAAAUCCCCGGGCUCAACCUGGGAACUGCAUUCGAAACUGGCAGGCUAGAGUCUUGUAGAGGGGGGUAGAAUUCCAGGUGUAGCGGUGAAAUGCGUAGAGAUCUGGAGGAAUACCGGU
rnacentral:rRNA from 1 species